UAUCGUUGGUUGGAUAAUAGUUGAGAUAUAGUGCUUGAAAUCGUGACCCAUUCGAUCGGCGAGGAAAGUGAGAAUUUCUAGUCCGUUCUGGACCACCUACAACAAGAACCAAGAAUCGUUUUAAUCUACGGCAUAUUGAUCUACCAAGGCAAUCGAGAUUCGCUGGGUAAUUUGCUGGACAUAGAAGACGCUUAUGUGCGUCUCCGUGACGAGAGAUCAAUUAACGUCGCUGCUCAAAAUAUGUACACGAAAAACCAGUUUGCCAAAUGCACAGUCAUUGGAAGGGAAUCGACCGAAAUAGCAAAAUAUACACGGUGUCCCGUGCAAAGUGUUACGAGCUAUUUUCUAAGAAACUAACGAAGAUGUCCGCGUCAUGUUUGGUACAGUUAACAAGAGAAUUGACUUUUUUCUGGUUUCUUCUCCAUUUUUUACCGAAGGAACCCAUUGACUACAAAAUAAACAUUGAACACUAGGAAUUGCUUUUUUGGACUUUUGCUUUCUUCAAUUUUUAUUGAAGAAAGUAUGCAAGAUUUUUACUUGAAAUUUUACACACGCUUUUAUUACUAAUUCAGCAUAACGUAUACAUUUUUAUGGAAACAUUUACCCAAUAAUAUAAAUGUUACAGCCCAUUGACUAUGGUUGCUUUUAAUUGAUCGUGACACAAUUAAACAUUGGUCACUGGAUAAUAUGAUUUCUACCAUCCAAAUAAACUGAAGUAAAAAAUUCAACCGGCGUUUAUUCUAUGAGGACAUCGUCGUCAUCUAACGAAAAAUAAAUUCAAAAGGAAUUUUUUUUUUAUGAAUGAUAGG